UGGGGAAUUUUGGACAAUGGGGGAAACCCUGAUCCAGCCAUCCCGCGUGUGCGAAGAAGGCCUUCGGGUUGUAAAGCACUUUUGGCAGGAAAGAAACGUCAUGGGUUAAUACCCCGUGAAACUGACGGUACCUGCAGAAUAAGCACCGGCUAACUACGUGCCAGCAGCCGCGGUAAUACGUAGGGUGCAAGCGUUAAUCGGAAUUACUGGGCGUAAAGCGUGCGCAGGCGGUUCGGAAAGAAAGAUGUGAAAUCCCAGAGCUCAACUUUGGAACUGCAUUUUUAACUACCGAGCUAGAGUGUGUCAGAGGGAGGUGGAAUUCCGCGUGUAGCAGUGAAAUGCGUAGAUAUGCGGAGGAACACCGAUGGCGAAGGCAGCCUCCUGGGAUAACACUGACGCUCAUGCACGAAAGCGUGGGGAGCAAACAGG
rnacentral:rRNA from 1 species